AUCCCAUGAUGAGGACAAGCGGCUACGUACUCCUGCAGUCAUUCCUAUGCUUCCGGAAAAGACUCGUCCCUGGUCUGCUGGAAGCUUGAAAUCCUUCCAUGAAGGGC
rnacentral:snoRNA from 1 species